UACGAAGGGGGCUAGCGUUGCUCGGAAUCACUGGGCGUAAAGCGCACGUAGGCGGAUCAGUCAGUUAGGGGUGAAAUCCCAGGGCUCAACCCUGGAACUGCCUUUAAUACUGCUGGUCUGGAGUCCGAGAGAGGUGAGUGGAAUUCCGAGUGUAGAGGUGAAAUUCGUAGAUAUUCGGAGGAACACCAGUGGCGAAGGCGGCUCACUGGCUCGGUACUGACGCUGAGGUGCGAAAGCGUGGGGAGCAAACAGG
rnacentral:rRNA from 1 species